UCAGUAUUGGUUCAGCACCACGGACAGUUACAAUAGUACCAGAGCAACAGAAAGGCUUUCAAUAAAACAGGGUUUUAUUCUUUGAUUUUAAAGAACUAUUUCCAUGUAUUUCCAUAAUAUGUGUUUGUUUGUGUGUGUGGGUGUGUGUGUGUGUGUUUAAAAGUUGUUAUAAGCAAAUGAAAUGGAAAGAUUACAAGAAUGUAUAAUUUUACAGCACAUUAUUCUUAUGGGUUUGCAGCUGCCAUUAUAUAUAAUGUUGAGGAUGAUGGUUAUUACUGUAUAAUCUGAGUACAACAUCAUAAUUGACAUCGAAUGGGCAAGCUUAAAUAAGCAAUGCUUCUGUUUGCUCCCUUUCAAACAUGAUUGCAUUGUAUUGUCACUUUGUUAUUAAUGUCAUUGUCUGACCUAUCAUGUGAGACUGAUUGUGCUGGUCUUUUACAAAUGUUUGUAAUAAAAUGAAAAUAAAAAAAAUUAAACAUUCAACGCACAUUUAUAAUUCAUAAAUGUGCUUGUAAAUAUCUCUGUUGAACAGUAUGAGAAAUCGUUAACAGUUGAAUAACAUUAAACAUGUUUUACUGAAAACAUAUAAACAAAUCGCUUUGGGGUAAUGCUUUUUGAAGAGUUUAAAGACUCUAAAGUAGAUAAAGUCAUUUUCAAAAUUGGAAUAUUUAAAUUCCCAUACCAAUCAUCUUUUGAUCUAGUGUUCCCAAAGAUCUUUUAAUUAUCAUUGUGGAGUUAUUGGUCAAUAUAAGAAUAAUAACAAAAAGAGUGUCAUUUUCAUCAGACAUAGAGAGUAGUGGUAGCUCAUUAGAAAUUCACCUCUGAGUUGUUGGCUAGAAUGUUGGCUGGAAAAAACCUGGCCCCUUCCCAUCAUCCAUCUGUUUAAACUCUCUACCACUAGCUAACAGGCUCUUACAGCUUCAAUCUAAUAAACCUGUGCAAUAAAAAUGGCGUGCAAUAUCGGAGCUAUACAGCCGUACAGUUUUAAACCUGAUGCCAGCUCAGACAAAGAAAACAAAGACACUCAUGGAAUUUUUUUCAAGCCUUCUGUUUUGCCUGAAAGUUUAGCUUUUUGAUGGAUGACUUGGUAAAAUGUUAAGCAGCCCACAUACGCAAAAGUAAAUUAAGUGAAUUUUUAAAUUUAAAAGUCGGGAAAUUUAAAUGUACAGGAAAUUAGUUCAGUAUAAAUUUUCUCAUAAAACAGACUUUCAGAAAGAGGUGCAGUGGAGAAAAAAAAACCCUAACAUACAUAAAUGUUGUCAUGGUAAAGAUUAAGCAGAUCACUUCAUCAAGAGUGAAGAAAAAGCACAGAUGCAGCUUCUGCAUCAUUUAAAUGCCCCACUCUGCACGACUGUUCAACUCGUAUUUGUCUGAUCCUCGCUCAUUAUGCAAAUCAGGGAGUAGGCGUAGUUUGUCCUCAAAAGUGCGAUCUGACGUCACGGUAAUGAGUGACACUUGUUGGGGUGGAAUUGCGGAGGCUUACGAAAAAAGAAGAAAAAAAUUAGAGAACAUAAAGCCAUAAACCAUAAGAGAAAAUAAAUAAGGCUGAUUCCAAAACAAGACAGCUUAUAGGCUGCAGAAGGAGUAGAAGAGGGGAGGGAGAAGAAUCAGAGGAGGAGUAGGGAGUCAGGAGCGUAUAAGGGAUGGGGAGGGGGGGCACCGUGGUACUGUGCAGUUGACUAUAGAGAGAUAGGAGGAAUAGAGAGAGGGAGAGAGAGAGAGCAGCCCGCCGGCCCAUUGAGGAAAGAUGGCUACAGUCACUGCAAACGGAGUGCAGCAAGAGAAUGGAUUCAGCACCACGAACAGCGCCGGCAGGAUGAACGGGCUCACCAUCGGCCAGAACACCAUUCCAAUGAAGGACCACGACGCCAUCAAGCUUUUCAUCGGGCAGAUUCCCAGAAACCUGGAGGAAAAAGACCUGAAACCCCUGUUUGAGGAAUUCGGAAAGAUAUACGAACUCACCGUGCUGAAAGACAGGUUCACGGGGAUGCAUAAAGGAUGUGCCUUUCUAACAUACUGUGCCAGAGAGUCAGCACUGAAGGCCCAGAGCGCCCUGCAUGAACAGAAGACUCUGCCAGGGAUGAACCGGCCAAUCCAGGUGAAACCAGCCGACAGCGAAGGACGGGGAGAAGACAGGAAGCUGUUUGUUGGGAUGCUCGGCAAGCAGCAGAGCGAGGACGACGUGCGGCGGCUGUUUGAGACCUUCGGCCAGAUCGAGGAGUGCACCGUCCUUCGAGGGCCUGAUGGGGCCAGUAAGGGCUGUGCCUUUGUCAAGUUUUCCAGUCAUGCAGAAGCGCAAGCUGCAAUUAACAGCUUGCAUGGAGGACAAACUAUGCCUGGUGCCUCGUCUAGCCUGGUGGUCAAAUUUGCAGACACUGAUAAGGAGAGGACCCUGCGCAGGAUGCACCAGAUGGCAGGCCAGCUCGGUAUCUUCAGUCCCAUGACCAUCCAGUUUGGGGCCUAUGGCACCUAUUCUCAUGCUGUAAGUCUCAGCCCGGCGGGGGAGGAGACGCAGAUGAUGCAACAGCAAGCAGCCCUGAUGGCAGCAACACAAGGGUCCUACCUGAACCCCAUGGCAGCCAUUGCUGCCGCACAAAUGCAGCAAAUGGCAGCUUUCAAUGUCAACGGUCUGGUGGCUACUCCCAUGACACCGUCCUCAGGCACCAGCACACCCCCAGGCAUCUCUGCCACUGCCGUGCCCAGCAUAGCCACUCCUAUUGGGGUCAAUGGAUUCAGUGCCCUCCCACCUCAGACCAAUGGGCAGCCUACAUCUGAGCCCAUCUACACCAAUGGCAUUCAUCCUUACCCAGCACAGAGUCCAACGGUGACUGACCCUCUUCAGCAGGCUUAUGCUGGUGUCCAGCACUACGCAGCAGCCUACCCUGCCGCCUAUGCGCCAAUCAGCCAAGCGUUCCCCCAGCAACCAACCAUCAUUCCCCAGCAACAGAGGGAAGGGCCAGAAGGUUGCAACCUGUUUAUUUACCACCUGCCCCAGGAAUUUGGAGACGCUGAGCUCAUGCAAAUGUUCCUACCUUUUGGCAACGUCAUCUCAGCCAAAGUCUUUGUGGACAGAGCAACCAAUCAGAGCAAAUGUUUUGGCUUUGUAAGUUUUGAUAACCCAUCCAGUGCUCAAGCCGCUAUCCAGGCGAUGAAUGGCUUUCAGAUAGGCAUGAAGAGGCUGAAGGUGCAGCUAAAGCGGCCAAAGGAUGCCAACCGACCUUAUUGACUCGUCUGCUAUCCGUACCCAGUGUGAGGUGGCCUUUCUCCGCUAUAGCCACACACACCCCGACAACUGUCACGGGGCCAAGUUCCCACAGCUGAUGAAGGGCCACAACACCUUAUUUCCACAAGUGCAGUAAAAGUACAAAGACUUCUUGUUCUGCUACAUAUCAUGAAGGAAGGGUGGUCCCUUGAUCCUCCUGGAAAGCCGCAGAAAGAUUGGGUGACUGAAAGAUGGAUCCCAGAGUUGAUUUAUUUUUCUUUUUUUUUUUAAAUACUACGUUUUUUUUUUUCUUUCUUUGCAAAAGCCUCUUUUUUCCUGGUUUGCUUUGGCGUAUGUGGAAGAAGAUUUUUUGCAGAGACCAACUUUUUGCUGCUGUUUUUUAGACAUAAUGGGGAAAAGAAACCUUUAUAGACUCAUUAUGCUCAAAGCAUGCAUACUGACAACCAAUAUAGAUAAACAACCAGAAAAUAAACCAAACAUAGACAGUUAAACAAAACACUGGACUAGAAAAAAAAAAAAAGAACUUUGUACAUGUAUAAAUACGUGCAAAUGCCAACACAAGAACUUAAUCAAGGUCAUGCGUGUGCACACACUAAUACACACCAACACACACACCAGCCUGCUGCCAUUUUGGUUUUUGUGCCUACACAGGUGUUGUGCUCUGUGACAGGGCAAGCUCUGGAUCAAAGAAGAAAACAAGACGAAGAAGAGACAAGUGGAGAAUCCAGGAUAAUUUACAUGCAUCAUUCCUUAGGAAAUAGGGACCAAAGGACUAAACGCUUUUUAAAAGAUUAUAAAUAUAUAAAUAUAUAAAUAUAUAUUUAAAACUCAUACCUUGUAGCUGCAAGUAUUACAAUUUACUUAUAGGGGAAAAAAAUCAUUAAAUCAAUAUCCAGUGGCCUAUUGUAAGUAUAAGUUACAGAAAAUGGAAAUAUUGUAUUAAAAAAAAUGAAGUGGAAUUGUAGUGUAGGGGCUGAUCUUUUGCUCUGGAUGCUGAUUUAGCAGCAAGUUGUAGAAUAGUGUAGUAGUUAAGAAAAAAAAAAAGUAGAUUUGCUAACUUUUGCUGUCGUUUAAAAAAAAAUACUUGAAGUCGUUAAGAAAAAGGGGUGGAAUGAAGAGGUGAAGGAAGACGCUCAAUAUCUCUUUGUGUGGAGCAACUCUCUUUCUCUUGGAUGUAAAGGUAUCAGCCACUGGAUAUCUCACUCAUAAUGAUGUACAAGUUACCACACUCUGAGAGCUACAAAGAGACUGUUCUGAAAGACAAAAAAAGGAGAGAUGAAAAAAAAGACUGAAGUUACAGAUGUCUGUGCUGGACGAAGUACAGAUGUUUAAGGCUUCUCGCUAGCCUUUGUGUUCAUGCGACAAUCCACUGUAAAGACCAAGAAAAUGGACAUUGCUGUCUUUUCCCUUCUUUUUUUUUAUUUAAUCGUAUUUUCUUUUUUUUAUUGAAACCACAACUUGUUAAAAGGAUUUGUUUAAGAGAGAUGGACAACUGUGAAGCAGUGCUACAGCGAGGUGACAGUCACUGAAAGUCCCAACAGAAUGAACCCAAUUUAAUGACGACUUUUGUGUGGUGUUCCUUCAAAAGGAAAAAAAAAUGUGUCAAUCAAGGAGGAUGUGCUGGUGACAUGCCAAGAGUCCUUCAGUCUUCUGGUGAUGCUGCAAAAGUCUGAAAUGAUAAAGUGUUUAUCUUGUCUCUUGGCAGUUAAGAGUAAACCUUUUUUUUUUCUUAAAUAAAGUCAAAUUACCCACAUUGCUGGGAAAGAGGAGCUCAUUUAGCUCUGCCAAAUAUAAUUUAUUCAGACUCCACUGUAAACAACUUCAUUGACCUGCUUUCUUCAUGUACAUAAAGUUUACAGCGGGAAAAAAAAAAGCCUACAACAGGCAAAACCAAAAUUAAUUUCACCUCCCACACAGCUCUCCUGUAGCUUCUCGGACAAAAAAAUCCAUAGCUUGAUUCCGUUUGCCUUUAUUUUGACUGUUUUGGAGCAGGCUCCUCUCGGAAACUAGAUCAAUAUGUUUGGAGUGGGCCUAGAGGGAGGAGCAAAGCUGUUUCAGUCACCAUGAGCACUUCGCAGUGUUCUCAGCAGAACACGGGCUCACAUCCGUACACCAGUCCUCUGAGCACCAGCAGCUGCCAUUAAGAGGCAGGCCAAGGAGGGAAGAAAGGAAGUCAACAGCUUGUCACAUGGAGAUCAUUCUAGGUUGCUGCUGAGUUGUUGCAGAGUACUUUAAAAUAAGAAGCUGGAAUCAGGCCUAUGGUGACAAUAAUUAUAGAUUUGUGCUGUAUGCUUUCAAAAAUAACAUUUAACGGUGAGACUGUGGGAUUAUCUUAGCCAACCACUCAUUCCAAUUCCUAUUUACGACUAUAUUGUUUCAUCACCUUUUUGCUUCAAAUUCAGCCACAUACUAGAUGAGUUUCAAAUCAAAGAUGGACUGAUCAAAUAUGCCAGCAUAUUAUGGAUAUUAAUACACUGCCUUUGUCAUUUAAAAAAAAAAGCUGGAGGUCGUGAUAUCUGUCCAUUAUAUCAGCAUGCCUAUUACCUCCUAUCAUCUUGCAGCCAUGCCUUUGCAAACCACAGCUCAACUGUUCACAUCUCCCCCCAUGGAGCAGCAUUUUAAAGCUUGGCCUAAUGCCUGAGCUUGCUACCCUUCAAUUAUCUCCUGCACCAUAUAAGACAUGCUAUCUCACCUUUCCCUCUAAUCAUACUGUAAUCAUCAGCCUCUAUACAUUAGCAGCAACCAAGUGAAAAAUCACUGGGAUAAUCACUUGGACCAAAUGACGGCAGAGAUGGUCCCCUGUAUGCACAUGGAUAACAGAAGGAAGAUUAGGGAGAAUUAUGUUUGUGCCUACUCCCUGGCAAGAAUGCUGACAGCUGACCUGGCACAGAUAAUACAGCUAAAUUUACCCGAAAAUACACUGGAGGAGUGGAACAAAAGCUUCUGUAUAAUAACAAGGUGUUAAUAUUGCACAGCAGAAUGACAUUACCAGGAGAUAAAAGAGGACGAAGAGCAUAAAAAGUAUUUUGCUUUCAUUUCACUACAAAGGUUGCAGCAGUAGUUGGUCAAAAGUGGGUCGAAAACAGCAGUUUUGCUGAAAAAGGCUCAAUCCUGUCUAAGCACCUGGUGUGAAGCUUGUGUCCUUGUGAUUCUUUUUUCAUCACCAAAACUGUAUCUCAGCAGUACACUACAGAGGUCAAUCCAAUUUUACAACACUAUUUUCUUAAACCUCUUUGCUUGCGUUCUUUCUGCACAACUAUAAAGCAGUUUCUCUUCAUCAGAUAUAAAAUAUGAAAGCACAGCCUUCUAAAUUCAAAGUGAGAUUUUUUUAUUCCUGUUAAUUCAGAGUCCUUGUUUUUCUGUUGGCUAAACUCAUAAAUGCAGAAAGUUGUGUAUCUUUGAUCAAUUCAAACCUACAGCAUCCAAAUUCAUUAUGUCUGUGAUGCUGCAGUUAUAAAUGUGCAAAUUAAUGUUUUAUAAGCAAUCAAGUGUCCUGUUCUUGUCUUGGUGAGCUCUAAAAUACACCCCGUAACAAGAUAACUGAAAGCAUGCUCAACUGAACAUCUCGGCGUUAUAUCACAUUUUGUACUUGUUCCCACUGCUAAUAGCAGGUUCGGUCCCCAGUGAGCCAAAAACCCAGCUUAGCUUAGUAUCCUGCUGCCUGGCUUGGCUAAUAGUGCAGUGCUCAUGUACCAUAUCUGCUAUGCCAGGACUAAUUUAGGCAAUGUGAAAUUAGCACUUCAACACUUUUAACAUGGGCAUUUUUACUGCCUUAACACCCUGGGGAGGAGGUUGCUAAAGAGACGGGCAAAAUAAGCCUCACUGUAAUAUGAUGCAACUGCUGAAAUGAAAAGACAAAGUGAUUUUUAAGGCUUCUCAUUACCCACUUAUUUUAUGGGUUUCUGCAUGCCUUUCCAUUAGUUCAGGUCCACUUUGGUUUUUAGUCCCCAUGGUUUUACCUCUGAGUCCCAAACAUUAACCAGCCAACAGAUCUGUUGCCAAAUGUUUGUUUAUUUGUCCACAGCAUUUUGAAUACAAAACUGUUGUAACAUUUUUUGUGAAGAAUAUGUAAAUAUCUUAUAAUUGUGGGGGAAAAAAACAUCUUCAGCACACUGGGCCAAAUAAUAGUCUGUUGCUGAGCUAAGCAGCUUUGACUGUGGUGAACUAAAAAGUACAUUUGAGUUUAAACUGUUCAUUUUGUUUCUGUGCAAAAAUGACAAAAUCUGCCUUCAGAGUAGUCAUGUUAAAACCACCUCAGACAGUGGGAGCUUGUAUGCAUAUUACACCCAUUUUAAGCUGGCAAUGCACUGCUCACAAGGAUCAUCAUCCAUAGCCGCACAUAUCCUUUGGGGCUCACGGCCAAUUGCAGGACAGAGAAGAGGACUGCUAGAGCAUGGAUUUCAAACCCCCUGGGUGCAUAACAUUCACCCUGAAAUAGGAGUGAUUGUCAAGGAAAGGAAGUGAAAUGUAAUUGACUGAAAGCAGAGCGAUAAUUAAAGGAACCUGUUGGACAGGAGGGACGAAAUUAAUGUCUCUCACUUAAUAGCUGCUUUGUGAGAGAACUUUUUCGUCAUCUCAUUUUGGUGCAGAAAAGAUUUUGCGGUGGAAAUGGGAUUUUUGCGUUCGAGAGGGUGAGUGGCUGAUAAUAGUGGAAAUGGGCACUGGGUGGUGGGGGUGCUGUGUGCUAAACUGAAACUCCACAAAAUCACUCCCAAUACUCAGGGCAUCAGGCAUUAUGAUGUCAUGAUUAGUGGAGAGGUUCAGAGCCUUGCCUUACCCCAGAUCAUGUAAAAGAUCGAGCACACAAAGAGAUGCAAAGCAGGUGUGUAGAAGGGCAAGUGCUGAGCAAACGGAGGUGCUGACAAAUCAUCUAAAAUCACGCUUAUACUAGGAACCAUUACAUAAAAAUUAUGGCAUCCAGCCAACAGGGCACAGUUAAGAAUUGUGGGACCAUGUUUAAAAAAAAACACUGAUAAGAUUAGUGGAGACUUUUUUUAAACGUAUUUCUCAAUGUAAAUAGUCUUUAAUAUGUAAAAAAAAACGGCAAGGUUGUACAGCUCCUGUGUUGGAAAGUUCAGCUCUGUGGGACAAUGAUGUCACUGUAAAUGUAUCCACAGCAGUGCAGGGAUUUAGGAGAGUUUUCAGUCUUUUUAAGCCCCUUAGGUUUGGGCUGUGAACAAGCAUCCUACAACCCCUAAGCGCUGGAGAACAACUUAGAGUAUCUUACUUAAUGUCAGACCUAACCCAUGGCCCCAAAGGGAUCUGUUAAUUAAGAAUCUGUGUCCCUGAACACGUCAUGAGUUUUCUGCAGAAGAUCGCCCGUGUGGUACCUGGAUUACCCCAGUUUGGCUUGAUAAACAGAUUUGACGACAACAGCUCUGCUCGACACUGUGGAAAACCUACCAAAAAGAAGAGAACAAAUUCUUGAAUUGCCUUGAAAGUAUUAACUAAAAGCUAAAAAAGAAGUCCAGGUCUGAAGUUGUUUGGCAUGUACAUAAACCGUUCUGAGGAAAAUGUUGAAACUAUGUACGUGCUUUCAGAGAAAGGGGACAAAUGAGAGAUCAAAAUAUGGAUCCCAGCAGAACCCCUGCUUGCUUGACUCAAUCUCCACCGCUCUCCUGACAACGCAGCUGCAUUAUAUCUGUACAUACAAAAUAGCUUAUUUUUCAAUUCUGUUCACCAUUAUUUAAAACCGUAAAAUAGAUCAUGUCCAAACGUUUAAAAUAAAAAAUAAAUAAAAUCAUAGUUAAUAUAUUUCAGGAAAAGUACAAAAAAUAUUAAAUAAUUUAUCGAAAACAGAUAAGAGGAUUUUAUUUCUUGUAAAGUGAUACACUGAUGUUUAAAAACUGUUUUUUUUUUCUUUCUUUGUCACUGGCUGAGGCUGGGGUAGAACCAUUAUCACAAUGUUUAUUCUGACAGGCUUUUAAUCAGUUCCUAUUUUCUUGGGCACAAUUCCUGUGUGAAAUCCCCUGUGAAUUGCAAAGUGUAAAAAGAUUUUGCUCCCUGAAAGCAGUCACAUCAAUACAAGAAUUAGUAAAGUGCGCUGUAAAAGGAGAAUUAUGGAACUGGUCUAUGGAUUGAGAAAAAAAAAAUCUUUUGCACAGCUGACUUCAUAUGAGUCAGCAUUUCUUAACAUAAAAAUACACAUUUGAGGCUUUUUGAGCUAAAAGAAAAGUAGUUGAGUGAAAUAAUAUGACUAAAAAUUAGAUUUAAACAAAGAAAAAAAAAUAACCUUGAUAUUACACUGGUAUUGGGACCUGUCUAUGUGAUGAUAGCUUAUUGUUGUUUGCCGUGGUUAAAUUGGUGUCUUUUUUUUUUGCAAUCACUCACAUAUCCAAGUCUCAUAUGUUCUGUUAUUGCCUAUAGGACAUCUCUACCACAGUUUCUUACCUGAUGUGACUCCAUACACUGAAGACACUGUGCCAGCAGUAGAUCACAUCACUCUUUAGUCAAGUGGGUUUGUUAAAGCAUUGAGGGAAUUCUGCCUUAAAACAGCCUGUUUUCUCUGACGGCACUACCUGUGACGAGUGGUAAGUCGCUGCAUCUUGGGGAUGUCAAACAUUUUUUUUUAAGUCGGUUUUGACUCAAAGCCCAUCCUGACACAAACAUGGAAGUGGUCACUCGCCUCUAUUUUCUUUGGUUACAAGGACCAAAAUGUAAACACACUCAGCUAACUGAGCAGUUUGCUUCAAUCAAGUGUUCAAUGAGAGCCUUUAAACUGUUCACAAUUAGUCAUAGGUAUUUUUGCACCACGGAUCUUUGUGUCAUGAACCUUGAAUUCCCAGCUACUCUGUUUAGUUUCAAUUCUGUUUGUACAUUCAUAAUCAUUCCUGAUAUAUUUCAGGAUUUGUAAUCAUAAUAAAAUCAAUACCCAUGUCUUUGUAUUAUUUUACUUUCAACGGUUCCUGUUUUUUUUUGUUUUGUUUUAUCUUUCUGUUUUAAACAGAGAUGUAAUUUCAAUUAGCGUUGGCUCGGGUCCGUUUCCCCUAAAUCGGGAUGAUAUCUCUCAUAGUGCUCCUGAACUCUGUAGUUCUCUAGUUCAUUAUAUUCUACUUAGACUAAAAUAAAGCACACUCCUGUAGAAAACG